rnacentral:rRNA from 1 species
GACGAACGCUGGCGGCGUGCUUAACACAUGCAAGUCGAACGGAAAGGCCCUGCUUUUGUGGGGUGCUCGAGUGGCGAACGGGUGAGUAACACGUGAGUAACCUGCCCUUGACUUUGGGAUAACUUCAGGAAACUGGGGCUAAUACCGGAUAGGAGCUCCUGCUGCAUGGUGGGGGUUGGAAAGAUUCGGCGGUUGGGGAUGGACUCGCGGCUUAUCAGCUUGUUGGUGGGGUAGUGGCUUACCAAGGCUUUGACGGGUAGCCGGCCUGAGAGGGUGACCGGCCACAUUGGUACUGAGAUACGGCCCAGACUCCUACGGGAGGCAGCAGUGGGGAAUAUUGCACAAUGGGCGGAAGCCUGAUGCAGCAACGCCGCGUGCGGGAUGACGGCCUUCGGGUUGUAAACCGCUUUCGCCUGUGACGAAGCGUGAGUGACGGUAAUGGGUAAAGAAGCACCGGCUAACUACGUG